GUGUGCUGCAAUCCGGGCGGGCAAGGUUGCAUCUCCUUAACUCCUGCCUCGCCGGCAGCGCUCCCCGGAGCCCCGCUCCCCCCCGGCUCAGGCUCCGCCGCUCAGCCCCCGCUGUACCGCGCUGCCUCCCGCCUUCCUCCCCCCCACCCACCAAGCCGCGAUGCAGCAGCGGGGAUGGAGUUGUAGUGGUGCUGGGUGGAGGGGGUGAGAGAUUGGCUAUAAGGAGAAGGCUGACGGCUGCAGCAUGAAGCGCAUUAUUACCUUGUGAUUCCAUGACCCUCCUCUAUGCAUCCCUAACUCUCGAAAGCUGAUUCAGCUUUCAGCUAGUGCUCUGGUGAGUCCUCUGCUGCAACAGAAGCUCCUAACUGAGGAGACUACCUCUUCAAAGAUGGCAAGCAUGCCUUCAGAUACAGACGAGGCAACCUAGAUGGAUGGCGGAGAGAGGGAGGCGAGUGAACUGGGAAGACAGAGAUUUUCCCGGAGAGCAAAAUGAACCCUUUACGAAGCCUUUGGGAUUAAAGAGGUGGCUUAAUUCUUUCACAGCGUCCACCCUUCAACCCAUUUAAGCACCAUGCCAUUUCCAAGAAAUGAAGGGCAAAGAAGCACUGAUGAGCAAUAAAGAGAUAAGCAGCAAAGUACUCGUAUCACCGGUGUUUUCCAGUGAAAAAUGAACCCUCAAGCACACCCAGUGAUUUGUUGUCUAAGCGAGUGGCAAAGUUCACCCAAGUUCCUGAUUUUGCUUCCAGCAGAGAUGCUCAUUGCUCAUUCUCACACCCUGGAGCAACUCGGACUCAUUAUGCGGCACUUGCUCUUCCCACCCGCACCUGCCUGCACGCGAGGUGGGACCACCGCCGCCGCCGCAGCGGGGACCUGCGCUCGCUGCUGGUGCGGAGACAAAAAGAGGGGAGCAAAACUGUCAUUCUCCCUGUGCCUACAGCUAGGAACUUGUGGGAAAUUAUAACCAACCUGGCAAUUUUUUAUUAUGCUUUAGUACAACAUGAUAGGCUAUGGUUUCGUGUGGUUUAAGAGAAAAUCAAGCCUAGAAUAAAAGCCUUGUUUUUUAAGAAACACAUGUGUGUGUAUAUAUAUUA